UGGGGAAUUUUGCACAAUGGGGGAAACCCUGAUGCAGCGACGCCGCGUGAUUUAGAAGGCCUUCGGGUUGUAAAAAUCUUUUCUAUGGGAAGAAAAUGACAGUACCAUAGGAAUAAGGACCGGCUAAUUACGUGCGAGCAGCCGCGGUAAUACGUAAGGUCCGAGCGUUGUCCGGAAUCAUUGGGCGUAAAGGGUACGUAGGCGGGUAAGCAAGUUAGAAGUGAAAUCCUAUAGCUCAACUAUAGUAAGCUUUUAAAACUGCUCAUCUUGAGGUAUGGAAGGGAAAGUGGAAUUCCUAGUGUAGCGGUGACAUGCGCAAAUAUUAGGAGGAAUUCCGGUGGCGAAGGCGACUUUCUGGCCAUAACCUGACGCUGAGGUACGAAAGCGUGGGUAGCAAACAGG
rnacentral:rRNA from 1 species